GUGAAUCAUCAAAUCUUUGAACGCAAAUUGCGCUUCCUGGCAUUCCGGGAAGUAUGCCUGUUUGAGGGUCAGUAUUAAUAAAAAACCGGUUUAGUUACAAAUUGUGACGUUUCCGGAGUUUGGGCUUACUUAACAUGUUUGGUUUAGAGGCUUAAAAUUGACCUUUUUUGCGCAUUUUGAAACGUACAUAAAUUUUUUUUAUUCGUCUUUUCUUAUU
rnacentral:misc_RNA from 1 species